rnacentral:lncRNA from 1 species
CUACAAAUCGCAUAGAAUUUCUUCUUUUCUACCAAGAUUGAUAGAUUCUAUCUAAGUGUAUCCUACUUCAAAUAGCAAACUUGAACCUACUGAAGCCAACAUACAUAGCAAAGAUCCGAAUGGCUAGGAUCUAAGUGAACGUGCAGUCAAACUUAGUAGCCUCACUGCGAAUAGCCGAUGACACCACAGGUCAAAGGACCACUCACACCACUGU